AUUGAACGCUGGCGGCAUGCCUUACACAUGCAAGUCGAACGGUAACAGGUCUUCGGAUGCUGACGAGUGGCGAACGGGUGAGUAAUACAUCGGAACGUGCCCAGACGUGGGGGAUAACGAGGCGAAAGCUUUGCUAAUACCGCAUACGAUCUAAGGAUGAAAGCAGGGGACCGCAAGGCCUUGCGCGUUUGGAGCGGCCGAUGGCAGAGUAGGUAGUUGGUGGGAUAAAAGCUUACCAAGCCGACGAUCUGUAGCUGGUCUGAGAGGACGACCAGCCACACUGGGACUGAGACACGGCCCAGACUCCUACGGGAGGCAGCAGUGGGGAAUUUUGGACAAUGGGCGAAAGCCUGAUCCAGCAAUGCCGCGUGCAGGAUGAAGGCCUUCGGGUUGUAAACUGCUUUUGUACGGAACGAAAAGGCUCUGGCUAAUACCUGGGGCACAUGACGGUACCGUAAGAAUAAGCACCGGCUAACUACGUG
rnacentral:rRNA from 1 species